CCCAAAUCUGGACACAAGGGCCGACCGGAGAAGUCCCGGCUGUUGACUCUCGCGUAGAUGCAUGCAAGAAAAGGUUAGCAAGCUCGAACGAAGAGGCGCAUGAUUGUGACAGCACUCUGAUGAAUGGAUCUCCUUUACACAUACCGGAUGGUUCGUUCUCAUUGGACGAGAACUUCGAAUAUUGUGUGAAAGUGAUUCGUUGGCUAGAAUGCCAGGGUCAUAUUAAACAGGAGUUUCGGUUGAAGUUGCUGACAUGGUUCAGUUUGAGGUCGACGGAGCAAGAACGUAGGGUGGUUAACACGUUCAUUCAGACUCUGAUAGAUGAUCCGAGUAGUUUGGCCGGGCAACUCGUCGACUCAUUCUCCGAUAUUAUAUCAAUCAAGAGGGCAAGAAAUGGGUUGUGUAACAAAGCUGUGGGAUCAAAUUAAGGGUGUGGAUUUGCUUCCUUCAAGGCUCUUACCAUUUUACAGUGACAAGAUCACCUUAGGCAGUAACACAUUUUUCCUUGGAGGGAUGAUCCUUGGAAGUGAAGAUUUAAGGAUGUUAGGUCUUAGGAGGCAUUUUGCUAUUUGCUCAAUUUAUUGCAAUUAUUUUUAAAACUAUGAAUUUAUUUAAUCAGCAAGAUAUUAUUAGUGUUGAUACUUUCUUUUUCUUUCUCAUUUUUCAAUUACGUUCAUUUGAUGGAGCGACAAGAUGUGAUUGCUGAUUUA